rnacentral:pre_miRNA from 1 species
UGCUCUUGUGGCUUCCAUGCAGAAGUGCACGGAAACAGCUAUUUGCUAUUGAAAAGUUGGCUGUUACUGUUCUUCUGAUGGAUGCUGCUGGAUU